rnacentral:sRNA from 1 species
GCUGGGCAUGGUGGCACAUGCCUAUAGUCCCAGUGACUUGGGAGGCUGAGGCAGGAGUAUCACAAGUGCAAGGCCAGCCUCAGCAACUUGGUCUCUUAAGUAACUUAGUGAGACACUGUCUUUU